AGCGUUUGAAUCGUUCCACUUUGAAAUUGCUAUGUCUAAUUAUAUUUAAUAAAAUUCACUAUAUUGUAGGUUAGAAUUAUGUUAUUGAUGAUUGCAUUAUGAGAAUGGUGUAAACAUCUCAAACAGCAGAGUGGUAGUAUAUAAUUAGUAUAACCAGAGAUGAAAUAAGGUGGCAUUAGCGUCACGCGUUUGAAAAAUACUCAUCUACUUCGUUUGCCCCAGUAUUUGAGGGGUAAUGCGAGAAUACUAACAGGGUGGUAUUGAAUCGAUUGAAUUACUACGAGAAAUCGGUGAUGAUGUUCGAUCGUGUAUUCGAGCCAUGAAUUCGAUUAGGCAUUGCGUGGCCCACGACGCGGAUAGCCUGUUUACCGUGUCGAUUUAGGAACUUGAUAUCCUCGACGUGCAGCGUGGUAAGUCCGUAGAUUCGUACGCGUAUCACAGGGCAACGCGUUAUAGAAUUUCCUCGUUCCAUAUCGAAUUUAGCUGUCCCUUUCAGUGCGUCAUUUGUCUUGGUAUGUCUAUCCACGAACCCUCGUAAUAACUUCAAGCUUCGUUUCACUCGAGUCGUGCAAACAUUGCGAUCGACUAGUAACUAGCAUUGUGAUACAGUUAUCGAGAUUACUAUACAC